rnacentral:rRNA from 1 species
AGAGUUUGAUCCUGGCUCAGGAUGAACGCUAGCGGGAGGCCUAACACAUGCAAGUCGAACGGGAUUGAGAGCUUGCUCUCAUGAGAGUGGCGCACGGGUGAGUAACACGUAUGCAACCUACCUAUAACUGAGGGAUAGCCCAUAGAAAUGUGGAUUAAUACCUCAUAGUUCUUUUGUUCCGCAUGGGAUGAAAGAUAAAGCUCCGGCGGUUAUAGAUGGGCAUGCGUGACAUUAGCUAGUUGGUAAGGUAACGGCUUACCAAGGCUACGAUGUCUAGGGGUUCUGAGAGGAUGAUCCCCCACACUGGUACUGAGACACGGACCAGACUCCUACGGGAGGCAGCAGUGUGGAAUAUUGGUCAAUGGGCGCAAGCCUGAACUAGCCAUCCCGCGUGCAGGAUGAAGGCCCUAUGGGUCG